rnacentral:rRNA from 1 species
UACGUAGGGUGCGAGCGUUGUCCGGAAUUAUUGGGCGUAAAGAGCUCGUAGGCGGCUCGGUAAGUCGGGUGUGAAACCUCCAGGCUCAACCUGGAGACGCCACCUGAUACUGCUGUGGCUAGAGUCCGGUAGGGGAGUGUGGAACUCCUGGUGUAGCGGUGAAAUGCGCAGAUAUCAGGAGGAACACCGGUGGCGAAGGCGGGUCUCUGGGCCGAUACUGACGCUGAGGAGCGAAAGCGUGGGGAGCGAACAGG